rnacentral:rRNA from 1 species
GAUGAACGCUGGCGGCGUGCCUAAUACAUGCAAGUCGAGCGAACGGACGAGAAGCUUGCUUUUCUGAUGUUAGCGGCGGACGGGUGAGUAACACGUGGAUAACCUACCUAUAAGACUGGGAUAACUUCGGGAAACCGGAGCUAAUACCGGAUAAUAUUUUGAACCGCAUGGUUCAAAAGUGAAAGACGGUCUUGCUGUCACUUAUAGAUGGAUCCGCGCUGCAUUAGCUAGUUGGUAAGGUAACGGCUUACCAAGGCAACGAUGCAUAGCCGACCUGAGAGGGUGAUCGGCCACACUGGAACCGAGACACGGUCCAGACUCCUACGGGAGGCAGCAGUAGGGAAUCUUCCGCAAAGGGCGAAAGCCUGACGGAGCAACGCCGCGUGAGUGAUGAAGGUCUUCGGAUCGUAAAACUCUGUUAUUAGGGAAGAACAUAUGUGUAAGUAACUGUGCACAUCUUGACGGUACCUAAUCAGAAAGCCACGGCUAACUACGUG